AUCUGGUGGUAAGGGCAAGCCUCCAGUAACUUCUUGAAUCUUCCCCAGUAUUCAUACAAAGUCUCCCCAUCUCGUUGCAUAAUGCAAGAGAUCUCUCUUCGCAGCUU